ACAUCUCCAGCACACAAGAACUUCAAAACGCCUAAGCCACAGCAGUCAGGUGUUCCUUCAGGACCUCCUCCCCCAGGAUCUUACUUCAAGUGCUGGAAAUCUGGCCACUGGGCCAAGGAAUGCCCACAGCCCAGGAUUCCUCCUAAGCCAUGUCCCAUCUGUGUGGGACCCCACUGGAAAUUGGACUGUCCAAUUGGCCCAAGGCUCUGACUGACUCUUUCCCAUAUCUUCUCGGCUUAGCAGCUGAAGACUGAUGCUGCUCUGAUCACCUCGGAAGCCUCCUGGACCAUCAUAGACACUUUGAGUAACUCUUACAGUGGAGGACCCUGUGCACAAAAGGAAGAGUGGCUUAUCACUGGGCCUCACACACAGGUGACCUAACUGUCAGGCCUCUGAGCCCAAGCUAAGCCAUGAUAUCCCCUGUGACCUGCAGGAAUACAUGCGGAUGGCCUGAAGCAAGUGAAGAAUCACAAAAGAAGUGAAAAUUGCUGGUUCCUGCCUUAACUGAUGACAUUCCACCAUUGUGAUUUGUUCCUGCCCCACCUUAACUGAGCCAUUAAUGUUGUGAAAUUCCUUCUCCUGGCUCAGAACCUCCCUCACUGAGCACCUUGUGACCCCCACCCCUGCCUGCAAGAGAAAAACCCCCUUUGACUGUAAUUUUCCACUACCCGCCCAAAUCCUUUAAAACGGCCCCACCCCUAUCUCCCUUCGCUGACUCUUUUUUCGGACUCAGCCCGCUUGCACCCAGGUGAUUAAAAAGCUUUAUUGCUUACACAAAGCCUGUUUGGUGGUCUCUUCACGCGGUUGCGCAUGACAGUAACACAUAUGCUUAGGGUAAUUAUGAUAUGUUCCUGUGCCCGUCACCCAGAUAAUGUGACUCUUCUCUUUUCCUGGGACCUUCCUACAGUGGAGAUUGUGACAUAUUGCUUGGCCCAGUAUCUAUGUGAUGUGAUUCUCCUUUCAUACCAGAGACUUGCCACCUGGGGUAGUUGUGACAUAUAGCUGGGCCCAGCCCCUAGGUUAUGUGACUCUUUUGCUUAUCCUCAGCUCUACCUACAAGAAGCACUGGGAAAUAUCUUUGGACCCCACGAUUAGGUGAUGUGACUCCCCUUCCUGGGCUCUUUCCUCAGGAGGUAUUGUGACAUAUUCCUGGACCAAGUACCUAGGGAUUGUGAUAUAUCGCUGAACCUAGCACCUAGGUGAUGUGACUUUGUUUUAUUGCCUGUGUCCUGCAUUUUUUAAGUAUUGUGACAUGUCCCUGGCCACAACAUCUAAAGAAUUGGGAGGAGAGAUUGUGACAUAUCUCUGGAACCAGAACCUUAGUGAUGUGACGCUUCUCUCCUGCUGAAGCCAUGCCCACACAAGGGAAAGUGACUUAUCACUGGGCCCAGCACACAGGUCUUUUCCCACAGGGAGCAUUGUGAAACAUCACUGGGCUCAGCCACCAGGUUAUGUGACUCUUCUGCCUGUGCCCUGCUUCCAGAAAAUAUUGUGACAUUCCUCAUACAGCAUCCAGGUGAUGUGACUCUUCUGCUCAUUUUCUACUUACAGGAGACAUGCCCAAAAAAGGGAUUGUGGCAUAUCUCUGAGCCCAGCACCCAAAUGUUGUGACUCUCCUGCCUGAGCUGUGCCUAGAGAAAAUAUUAUAAUAUGUCACCGGACCCUGCAUGCAAGUGAUCCAAUUCUCCAGUCUGGGCCUUGCCCAUAGAGGAGAUUGAGACAUAUUCCAGGUGAAGAAUUCAGGUCAUGCAAAUGGAGGCGGAUUUUGACAUAUCAUAAAGCCAACAUAAUACACAGUCUGCAGGUGGAAUUGGGACUCUCAUGCAUGGAUCCAGUUCAUCAUUGAUACUGUGACUCAUGUACUUGGAUGCAACUCACAGGAGGUGUUGACGCUUUUUACCUGAAGCUGGGACAUGUGUGGAAUUGUGAAUCCUAGCCCUAGAUCUUCCCACAGGUGGGAUUUUGACAUAUAACUGCACCCAGCACACAGGUGAAGUAUCUCGUAUGCUCAUCCUGCCAAAAGUUAUGAGUGUCACCCUCACACAUGGACAGAGACCUCUGGUUAGGUCUUGAAUCUUGUACAUGGACACAGUCCGCAGUUGGAAUGUCAUAUGUAGAUCCAGCCACAGGUGUGAUGUUGACCUAUUUAUAAAGUUAGCUCACAGGCACAUUGAUAACUCUCAUACCUGGAUCCAGCCAAUAAAAG
rnacentral:lncRNA from 1 species